rnacentral:miRNA from 4 species
UGACAGAAGAGAGCGAGCAC